AGAAACUGAGGCGUUCACGGAGUGCAACGUCGUGACAGUGUGGGGGGAUUUUUGAGACGGCAAACAACUUUAAAUCCAGAAACGAGUCUAGAAGAGGAGAGUAAGAACACACACUACAACAGCUUUCAGAUAGUCACUAUCAACUGCCUAUUGAAACCAGCAAACAGGACAUUCUGCAAAAGUCCACAGAAGAAAGAGUAUUGAAGAAAGUCAUUCAGGAUUGGACUGAAGAACCUUUGGGCAUCCAUUACAGUGAUCACAAUUCACUCUCUCAGUAAAGCCACUCCCGCAACAAUUUACCAAUUAAAACUGUGAAUAUUCCCAUCAUCCUACAAGAGAAGUGCUUCAGACCAGCAGGAAGAUCUCCAGGUGUAACAACUGAAAUCUGUGUGAUAUACUAUGGAAAAGAUGGAGUUUGUUAAAGAGGAAAGUGAGGACAUGAGUUAUUCCAAAUGAAACAUGAUCAUACUGAGGAACAAAUAGACAUAAUGGAAGUGAAAGAGGAACUUAAUGAAGUGGAGGAGAAACAUCAGGAACAGAAAUCUUCAUACAAGAAGAAGAAUCUUUCUCACAGACAGAAGAAUUUCUCACAAAGAAUAGAAGCCAAAAACUUUUCCACCUGCUUUCAGUGUGGAGAGACCUUCAGAUUUAAAUGUAAACUUGAGGAUCACAUUAAAAAUACACACUGGAGUGAAACCUUUCACAUGCCCUCAGUGUAGAACGAGUUUCAGACUAAAAAAGUCCUGAAGAAUCACAUUAAGAUUCACACUGGAGAAAAGCCUUACACGUGCCCUUAGUGUAGAACGAGUUUCAGACUAAAAGAACACCUCAAGAGUCACAUUAAAAUUCACGUGUCAUCUGUGUGGAAAAAGUUUCACACAUGCUUACAGUCAUAAGUCAUCUCCGCCAUCACUCUGGUAAAAGACCAUUUAACUGUGAUCAAUAUGGAUGAUCACUAAAUAACUUUGUUGCUCUCACAACUAAAAGGCCUUACUUGUGUUCAUUUUGUGGAAAGAAUUUUACUCAGUCAGUGCAUCUGAAAACACAAGACAGUUCAUACUGAAAAGAAACCGUACCACUUGCACACCAUGAGUAAAGUUUCACCCAAUUAUUGAGUCUUUUCACUCCCAUUCAGAACAUUUUCAGAGUGAGCAAAGUUCAUCUUCUGGUUCAACGGUUUCAAUGAAAUAGUAUGAGGUUAAAGCCACCAGGAUACAUAGACUGAAUAUGGAAAACGUCAGUCUGUUAUAUCUCCAUCUAUUACUUUAAAAACGUUAAUAAUUAUAGCCGUCAAAAGUCAUUGAGAAAUGAAAAGACUUGCUUGCAGUAAGAUAAAUAGACUCAGGGUACGUUUACACGAUAACGAUGUACUAAAAACGGAGAAGUUUUUCCUUUUGCGUUUUUGAAAAGUUUCGCGUACAGAUGACAACGUUGUCAAAACGAUCCCCGUUCACACGGAUCCGCGAAAACAACUAAAAAUGCUGUAUUAUGCAUGCCAGGCCAGUAGUUGGCGAUGUCACUUUGUAAAGGAACACUACGCGCCUGCGCACAUAAGCAUUCUUCCACGGAGCGGUGAAUACAAACAAUGAAGAUGGCGAUUGCUGGUUGUAGUAGUGAUGCAGUAAAUCUACACUUUGCUGGAGAAGAGUGAAUAAACUCAAAAUCUUGAGCAGCACAAACACAGUCCUGUAGUCCGCCAUUGUAGUUUUGAAUGUCUCGCACAUGCCUAUAGACUGAACACGUAAUACGUGUGCGCAUGACGUCAUCGUUUUCACAAAUUUGCAUUUUUGUAUGUUUACACGGAGACGAUAAUGGCAUCGUUUUCAAAAACUUGCACUUUGAAACCCGUUUUCAAAAGUUUGCGUUUUCAGGCCCCAAAACGCCGUUGUCGUGUAAACGAACAGCCAAAACGCAUAAAAAGAUUUCUGUUUUUAGUUGAAAACGUUGUCGUGUAAACGGCCCCUAAAAGAGUGCUUUUGUGUUUGUAAGAGUUGUUGACUAGCCAAAUGUUACCAUUGUCGAAAAAAAUUUGUAUGUAAAAAUGUAAUUUUUGUCAGACCAGUAUCCCUACUGUGUAAUUUGCAUUAAUCAGUCAAGCUGGAAUGUGUUUUAUUUCUUGUUUGAAUGUAGUGCUUAUGUACAUGAAAUUACAAGAAAUAAACAAAGAACCAAAAUCUUUUGUUGUGCAGAUCCUUUUCAAUUUAUAUUGAAAUUGUAUUUCUUCAGGCGCAGAAUCAAGACUCACCUUUCAAGGAUACUUUGAUUAGGGAUGGGACAAUAUAUCAAAUUUAGAAAUAUGGCAAACCAUAUCAAGGAAAAAAUAAAAAAAAACAUAAAUAUUUUGAUAUUUCAAAAUAUUUCAGAAUUUUUCUGUCCAUGUGAUCAUAAAUGAAACGACCUGUCAAAUACCAAAUUAUCUCUUGUUUUUUUUUUUCUACACUAAUUACAGGGUUUGCACAAGGUCCUGGAAAAUUGCUUUGUUUUGCAUACUUGAAAUUAAACUGGAACAUUUCAUGCAAUGUGUGUCCAUAAAAUAGUAAAUCCACACACUCCACUUUUAUUGAAUAAUGUCUCUUAAUAUCCUUUCUGUACUUUACAGUCAGUUCUUCAUCAAAAAGUAAAAAAAACAAAAAAAAUUUUUUAAUUUAAUUACACACAGCAUGGACCACGGUAAAGAAACCUUGCGAGUUCUCCCUCCUUAAUGUGCACUCAGCCCAUAGAUGCUUAUGGAACUGUUGCUAUUCUUAAAGUGACAGUACUAUUUAAGCGCUGCUUAUACAAAUGAAUGUAAAUUCAAAGUUAAAACUUGUAGCGCCAUUCUCUACCAUUUAAGAUUUCUUCCAGUUUCUUAUUUAUUGCAAUAAUAAAAUGAGGUAUAUUAAAACAGCAUGAGUUUUAAAUCAGAAAAAUUCUGUAACCUAGCCUUGGCUUGUAUGAACAUGCCAUCGUUGAAAGUCUAGGGGAUUUCUUAUUGUCCACUAUAGAUACAGUCUUCAAGGAGGCCACGCCCACUCGUUACUUAUUCAUUCCUAUGAGGAGAAACAUAGGAUAGAUUUGGUUAUUUUAACAACGAAAACAUGACAAAGAUGUUGUGUCGUUUUUUGCACUUCAAACAAAUGAGACAAACCCGUAACCAAAUUUUUAUCUUCUAACCUACAAAUUUAGUAAUGAAACGUGGUAUGGCUGAUCCGAUUUUAUUGGAAGACAUUUAAUUAUUUUUAUAUUCGAAUUUACUGCCUCAGCAGACAACUAGGUAUAAAUUUUGAUUACGUUAAAAUAGCAGGCAUACAAUAAAACCAUCUAUAAAAAACAAAGGGUGAUUCAGUUACGAUGGGGAUGAAAUAUAUUUUAUUAAACAUGAAAAUAAAAUGCAGUAAUUUGCUAAAUAACAACAACUAGGCCUACCGUCAUUUCUACUGAAGUAGUUCGUUUGGCAGUAAAGACAGUGCUAGUCAUACCUAGUAUUGUGUAUCUAAACAUUUUACAGUAACAGUCAGAAACCCUAUUUAUUUAACACCUUGUCAAACUAAACUUACAGUUCCACGAGAAAUAUUAGAAGCAUUAAAAAAACAAUAUAAGCAGUACUCCACUCCAAUCAUGUCAAGGAACUUUCUAAACUAUUUAUUUGUCUUGUUGUCUAGAGUAGCGGCAGCAUGUGCAAUGCAAAAUGGCUGUUAAUUGUCUGUGCAACUAAGGGCGCUUGGUUAGUAGAGUUUAGGCUGCAUCAGAGAACCCUGCAAAUACAUUGAUUUCAAUGGGGAUGGUACAUCCGAAGGAUGGAGAAGGAAAAUGCAAGUUUUUGCAGUAGUAAUGAUCCAUCAUGUGACCAAAAUUGAGAGCAUUUAAACUUUCACUGGUAGUAAUUGUAGAGCGAGAGCCUGGAGAAGUGUUUCCAUGUUUACUGGUACAUUGUCAAAGAUAUAUUUUAAAUAGUCUGUCUCUAUCCGUGAUCAGCACUGGAUUGCUGAUUGGUUUCAAACUGAACCGCCUCAUCCCUCGGGUACACGCCUUCCAAACGGAUCUUUCACAUGCGUCGAACGCUCCGUCUGAGCUUUCUCUAGUGUGUAAGUGCCCUUACGCAUCCAGUGUAGACAGCAUCAUUGAUUAUAAUGGGAGUUAUUUGCUGUUGUCGCAUCUGGUGUAGAUGGUGUAAAGGCCAAAAUAAACUUCGGUUGUCUGCGUUGCUGAUCGCUCCCCGCACUGUCCGCGUGUGGCCCAGAUUUUCUCAACAUGCGGACAGUCCUUGCUUGUGCACCUGCCAUUGACCAUGCUAAAACAGAAUAACAAAGCAGUUUUAGUGCACAUCUGUCAAACAAGUCCAUCUGCACUCAGGGUCAAUAGAGUAUACUCAGGAAAGCAAUCCAAUCCUGAACGCAGAAAAACAAAGUAUACCCAGGCCUUAAGGGGCCUUUCCCACCGAUUGCGUUUUUGUGCACAUCUGCUCUGUUUUUCCAUUGUUUUCCCAUGUAAACACAUGCUGGACGGAUGUCUUUGAUUGUUGCACCACGUUUCGCUGUUUCUUUAGCAUCUCGAUCAGGACUGGCACAUUUUUUUUAGAUACUGUGUCAAGUUAAAAAGAAAUACAAGCAGAGGUGGGUAGUAAUGUGCUACAUUUACUCCGUUACAUUUACUUGAGAAUCUUUUUGGAAGAAAAUGUACUUUUAUGAGUACAUUUAAAGAUGGGUACUUUUCACUCUUCGAGUAAUUUCUAAUGAAAAAAAAAUACUUCGUUAAAAUGGGCGACGUUACUGUCGUUACAUUACUGGUUUUAAUUUAAUACGUGUAAAAAAAAAAAAAUCUUGAGAAAUUUUUGAAAGGGACUUUUACGACUGCACUCUGUCAUUGGAGUCGAGUCCACUGCAGCAACUGCAAGCACGUCAAAUAAACACUUUCUUCGCUCCACACCAUGAAAUUUUUUUUUUUUCAUCAUGCAGUGCCUUAAUUUUACACCAAGACAAGUGGAUAUUCCAAGAUUAAAAUUGCAGCCUGGUAAGUUUUGGCGAUUAUGAUAAAGUGGGCUUGUCUGUGUUCAGUGAGAUACUGUAACUAUGGGCUCUUAUGACCUCAGUUUAUAAGAAUAUAUUUUAAAUCAGUGCUGCAAAAUAUCAGUUCCUAAAUCCAUGUAAACAUCUGCGUUAAGUGUAAAUAUCUUAUGCUUUGAAAAUCGCGUGCUUGAAUUCUGGUGCAUGAGCUGAUAGUAUGUCUGCACCUGCAUAGCAUUUCUGCGUUUGACAGAUGCGAUGAAUUUUUCUCAUGGACAACAAAAAACAAGCUCUGAACUUAAAUAAGCCCAACACGCUUCCAAAUACAGAGAUAAGUUGCAGUUUACCCUUAGAGUACAGAAAUAAUGGUCUAAAUUCUUUCGACACUGAAAAUACUGUAACUACACUGAUCUAAGUAUCCAUACAGAACUUUGAAAUAGUUACAGUAGGUGUUAAUAAAGCAUGAUCUUGUUUCUUUUUAUACAGUAUUACAUACAGUAUAAUUGGGCCUGUGGGACAUUAACGUUUUUCACCAUAAUAAUUACUAGAGACUGGUUUCCAAAAUUCUCUUCUAAUUGACAGAUUCGUCUGAAUCUGACUAGCAUCCUUAACCAUAAAUUAAUCAUUUCCCACCCUCAUGUUGUUCCAAACCUGUGUGACUGUAUUUUGUGGAACCCAAAAAAGAUAAUAGACGAUGUUAGCGACUGACGUUUAAACUUUAAAACAUUUAAGACUGACUUUAAACUUGACUUUAAAAUAUGGAGUUAAAAAACAUGCAGUGACAAUAAAUGGUGACUAUAAGGCUAACAUUCCCUCUGACAUCUCUUUAAUUGUGUUGCACUGAAGAAAGUCAUAUGGUUUGAAACAACAUGAGGGUGUAUGAUGACAAUUUCCAAUAAUAAUUAUUAUUAUUAGUAUAAUUGUUAUUAUUAUUCUGUAAGACGUUAAAUCUGUAAUAUGUAUUGGAAUAUUGGGGCAUAAUCGUCCAUUAUGUUUUAUGUGGAAGUAACUAGUUACUCGCUACUUGAGUAUUCUUUUAAUUGGAUACUUUGUUACUCGAGUCGUUUUUUACAUUACUACUUUUACUUGAGUAAAGAUUUUGGGUACUUAACCCACCUCUGACUACAAGUUUCCAAAACGCUUGUCGAGACACCUGUGUUCUGUUUCAUUGGAUGUGCUGCGUCUAGCUUGUUUUUAGCGCAGAUUCAACAUUCUGAACAAGUUCAGGCUGCAAAGAGGUGACUGACACGUUAUUCCAGAUUGUUCUGCACCAAGCAAAGUUUUGGCGCUUGAUAAAUGGUAAGCCAAUGUUUUUUUUUUCUAUCUGCUCUAGUGAGCUGUGCCUUGUUAAAACUAUGUUUACAGUUACUAAACAGUUAUCAAUGUUGCCAAAUAUGUUUAUAUAAAAUAUAGCUUAUUGCAACAAUACUUGCUUGGAGAAGGAAUUAAAAAGAGAGAGCAAUUUUGGGUUCGGCUGUGGUUCGUGCUUAAAAUCUGAUGGGACCAUUCGGGCCGGGUCACAUGGUCUUUGGUACAAGACGGGUUCACGUUUCAUUUUAAGGCCCGUGCAGACCUCUGAUAGCUGAUAGCAGUCGCCUUCUGAAGGUUUCCAUUUUUGUCAGUUGGAAGGCGAUUAAAAAUGCAAUUGUUUUUUUGGCUUUCUCUGAAGUGCAGAAAACUACACAAAAGCUCAUGUUUUUCGGUGUUAAAAAGCUACAAAUAUCGGAGAUUUCUCCCUGAUUUUCUCAUGGGAAUGAAUGAGUACAUAUGAUAACGGCUUCGCUUUCCUCCAUGCUAAACCAUUCCACCAGUGUAUUACUUGUGGCUGACUGUAUCUACAGGACAACUCUAAGUCCAAUCAGUUCGAAAAGCUUUAACACACUAAGUCAGAACAGUCUGAAGGUCUGUACCAAGUUUGGUGGAUGUUGCAUGAAAGCUCUAAGAGGAGUUUGAUACAUUUGGUCUUGGUCUAGGUAUUUUGGAAAAACCCCAAACCUUGUCUGUAGGUAAACAUUAUAUUGGCUUUGUCUUUCGAACAUUAGACAUUAUUUGUAUAAAAACACAAAUCUGGUCACUUUUUUUUUUUUUUUU